GACGAACGCUGGCGGCGUGCUUAACACAUGCAAGUCGAGCGAUGAAGUUUCUUCGGAAAUGGAUUAGCGGCGAACGGGUGAGGAACACGUGAAGAAUCUGCCCUCCACUUUGGGAUAACACCGGGAAACCGGUGCUAAUACCGAAUAUUGAAACAUAAGUGGCAUCACUGAGUUUUGAAAGAAUUUCGGUGGAGGAUGACUUCGCGGCCUAUCAGCUAGUUGGUGAGGUAAUGGCUCACCAGGGCAACGACGGGUAGCCGGCCUGAGAGGGCGACCGGCCACACUGGGACUGAGACACGGCCCAGACUCCUACGGGAGGCAGCAGUGGGGAAUAUUGGGCAAUGGAGGAAACUCUGACCCAGCGACGCCGCGUGCGGGAUGAAGGCCUGGUGUAACCGCUUCUAGUAGGGAAGAAGCGAAAGUGACGGUACCUACAGAAAAGACACCGGACUAACUUCGUAGCCAGCAGCCGCGG
rnacentral:rRNA from 1 species